UACAGAGGUCCCAAGCGUUGUUCGGAUUCACUGGGCGUAAAGGGUGCGUAGGUGGCAUGGUAAGUUUGAUGUGAAAUCUCCGGGCUUAACCCGGAAAUGGCAUUGAAUACUACUGUGCUGGAGGUUUGGAGGGGGGACUGGAAUUCCCGGUGUAGCGGUGAAAUGCGUAGAUAUCGGGAGGAAUACCUAUGGCGAAAGCAGGCUACUGGACCAUCACUGACGCUGAUCUGCGAAAGCUAGGGGAGCAAACAGG
rnacentral:rRNA from 1 species